CUUAAAUGUGGAUGGGUGUCAGUGCUAGGUUGAGUUUGAAACAGUCACAUAUUCAGGCAAGCAGGGGGCUGGAAGACUGAAAGUACAAUGGGGAGAUGGCUUUCUGGGAAUGGACAAGAGGUCUAGUCUUCAAGAACCCUGCCUCAUCUUAUUCAGGUAGUGGGAAGCAGAAGAGGCAAGGAACAGCCAGAAAAGGAGGUCCCUGGAAGCUUUGUACAGGCUGAGGCUAAUGGCUCCUGCUAUCACCCUUGUUUUGAGCAAUGCCAAGCACUCUAACAACCUUUGUUCUUUCUUUCUCACUUUUAAAAUUCCCUGUGGCAUUUUUGUAGAAGUAGAUUUAGUUAACUCAGCUGAAAUGUCUCUUCCUUCUUUCUUGUGCAUCCUAUUGCUCAGCUUAAUUUAUAAACUUCUUUAGGUCAAUCAGGAU